rnacentral:misc_RNA from 1 species
CGCACAUUGCGCUCUCUGGUAUUCCGGAGAGCAUGCUUGUUUGAGUAUCAGUAAAAACCCCUCAGCCCUUUAUCGUUGUCAUAUAUAUAAUGACUUUGUGUCAUAUAAUAAACGACUUGCAAAAAAAAAGGGCUGGAUUUGAGCAGAUAUUCCAUGACUUUUAUGCCGUGGUUGCUUGAAAUAGAGGUUCGACCUGACGAUUGGGCUAUAAGCACUCCAUAUUUUAACCCUAAGGGAGGAUAUCUUUUGCUGCCUGCCCAUCACUAGGUGGUCGCCAGUGUCGACUGAAUGCAGGAAGGUGGACAAGUUGAGAUCUUCGGAUGUAGACUUGCAACAAACCUCAACCUCGAUCUCAAAUCAAGUAAGACUACCCGCUGAACUUAA